rnacentral:rRNA from 1 species
GGGGAUUAGUGGCGAACGGGUGAGUAACACGUGAGUAACCUGCCCUUGACUCUGGGAUAACCUCCGGAAACGGAAGCUAAUACCGGAUAUGACGCACGGAGGCAUCUCCUGUGCGUGGAAAGAACUUCGGUCAAGGAUGGACUCGCGGCCUAUCAGGUAGUUGGUGAGGUAACGGCUCACCAAGCCUACGACGGGUAGCCGGCCUGAGAGGGUGACCGGCCACACUGGGACUGAGACACGGCCCAGACUCCUACGGGAGGCAGCAGUGGGGAAUAUUGCACAAUGGGCGCAAGCCUGAUGCAGCAACGCCGCGUGAGGGAUGACGGCCUUCGGGUUGUAAACCUCUUUUAGUAGGGAAGAAGCGAAAGUGACGGUACCUGCAGAAAAAGCACCGGCUAACUACGUGCCAGCAGCCGCGGUAAUACGUAGGGUGCGAGCGUUGUCCGGAAUUAUUGGGCGUAAAGAGCUCGUAGGCGGUCUGUCGCGUCUGCUGUGAAAACCCGAGGCUCAACCUCGGGCCUGCAGUGGGUACGGGCAGACUAGAGUGCGGUAGGGGAGAAUGGAAUUCCUGGUGUAGCGGUGGAAUGCGCAGAUAUCAGGAGGAACACCGAUGGCGAAGGCAGUUCUCUGGGCCGUAACUG